rnacentral:rRNA from 1 species
AUUGAACGCUGGCGGCAUGCCUUACACAUGCAAGUCGAACGGUAACAGGUUAAGCUGCCGAGUGGCGAACGGGUGAGUAAUGUAUCGGAACGUGCCCAGUCGUGGCGGAUAACUGCUCGAAAGAGCAGCUAAUACCGCAUACGACCUGAGGGUGAAAGCGGGGGAUCGCAAGACCUCGCGCGAUUGGAGCGGCCGAUAUCAGAUUAGGUAGUUGGUGAGGUAAAGGCUCACCAAGCCGACGAUCUGUAGCUGGUCUGAGAGGACGACCAGCCACACUGGGACUGAGACACGGCCCAGACUCCUACGGGAGGCAGCAGUGGGGAAUUUUGGACAAUGGGCGCAAGCCUGAUCCAGCCAUGCCGCGUGCGGGAAGAAGGCCUUCGGGUUGUAAACCGCUUUUGUCAGGGAAGAAAAGGUUCUGGCUAAUACCUGGGACUCAUGACGGUACCUGAAGAAUAAGCACCGGCUAACUACGUG